ensembl:lncRNA
AGGAAAGAAAACCUGCCGUCUACCAGCCAUCAGACUGCAGCCGCUCCCCAUGGUGUGCCCUGGGGAAACUCAGGAUGUGAAAACACAGGAUACUGGCCCCAGGUGGCUGAGGGGCACAUCAGAGGAAGGAUGUCAGUGAGCCCAGACUCUUGGAUCUUCCUACGUAUAUACAAAAGUGAGUGAUGAAAGUCAGCAACUGCAGCAACACAUGAUUUAAUCUUUGAAGAGACACAUGGCAAGUACCAAUUUGUAGUUAACAGCUGACUUUGCCUCAAAAUAAUCCAUAUGACCAAGUAACCCCUUUGGAUGCUCAUUCUGAACCUCUUCAGCUGCCCAGCCUUCAACUCAGGGAAUUCCAUGGAUAGAAGAGCCUGGUGAGCUACAGUCCAUGGGAUCACAAAGAGUUGGAUACAACUGAAUGCACUAGAGAAACCGAUGAAAAAAUAAGAGCAUCCAUCAGCAAUUCCACAUCCAGCACACUCAAGAAGAGGAAUAAGUGUAAAAGGGCCUUGAUACAAAGAUGCUGGAAUAAUGGUGGACGUCUUAGACUUCUGAGUACCACACUGCUUAACAGACACUGGGGUAUCUCCUCACAGCCGCUCCAGUGCCACACAGCCACCCAGACAUCAAAUUGCCAACAUCCAUUGGAUCAUUGAAAAAGCAAGAGAGUUCCAGGAAAACAUCUACCUCUGCUUUAUUGAUGAUGCCAAAGCCUUUGUGUGGAUUACAAUGAAGAUUCAACUUAUUUGAAAAGACCCUGAUGCUGGGAAAGAUUGAAGGUGGAAGGAGAAGGGGACGACAGAGGAUGAGAUGAUUGGAUGGCAUCACUGAUGUGAUGGACAUGAGUUUGAGUAGGCCCUGGGAGUUGAUAAGUCACAGGGAAGCCUGAUAUGCUGCAGUCCACGGGGUAACAAAGAGUCGGGCACAACUGAGCAACUGAACUGAACUGAAC